ACAGCUUAGAAAGAGGUAAAAAAGAAAAAAAAAAAGGACAAGACAAGCAGCAGGUUUGCCAGCAACAUAUUGCUACAUUGAUAAGAGUCUUCUGCUACAUCAGAAUUACACCCCACUGGAAAAAAAAUCUGUUACGUUGCUUUGUGGACAAUUCUAUGCAACCAUUUUAUGCUUAGACUUGGGAACUAGUAUAACCAAUGCCGCAAAACAACUGGCCUGAGGUGAAAAGCUGUGAUGUCCUGAUUUUCUCCUUACCCAGAAUCAAGUACAUGAAAAUAUGACUAAUUUUAGCUACUGCUGAAAGAAGCCUGAAAUGGAAAGGAUAAAGGGGGAUAUAUUC
rnacentral:lncRNA from 1 species